GAGAAGAUACCUUCGGGUAUUGGAAAGUGGCGCACGGGUGAGUAACGCGUGGGAACCUGCCCUGAGGUACGGGAUAACGGCUGGAAACGGCCGCUAAUACCGUAUGUCCCCUGCGGGGGAAAGAUUUAUCGCCUUGGGAGGGGCCCGCGUCCGAUUAGCUAGUUGGUGAGGUAAUGGCUCACCAAGGCGACGAUCGGUAGCUGGUCUGAGAGGAUGAUCAGCCACACUGGGACUGAGACACGGCCCAGACUCCUACGGGAGGCAGCAGUGGGGAAUAUUGGACAAUGGGGGCAACCCUGAUCCAGCAAUGCCGCGUGUGUGAUGAAGGCCUUAGGGUUGUAAAGCACUUUCACUGGUGAAGAUGAUGACGGUAGCCAGAGAAGAAGCCCCGGCUAACUCCGUGCCAGCAGCCGCGGUAAU
rnacentral:rRNA from 1 species